rnacentral:lncRNA from 1 species
AAGUUUAAGUUCAACAUUUUAUUAAACAAACUGGAGACAGUAAACACUCCUGAAAUAGACAUUAGAGGGAGGUCCAUCAGUAGCCUUGGUAACAAGACCUGGGGUAGAGGGAGGUCCAUCAGUAGCCUUGAUAACAAGGCCUAGGAUAGAGGAAUGUCAAUCAGUACCAUUGGUAACAAGGUCUGGGGUAGAGGGAGGUCCAUUAGUACCAUUGGUAACAAGGCCUGGGGUAGAGGGAGGUCCAUCAGUAGCCUUGGUAACAAGGCCUGGGGUAGAGGGAGGUCCAUUAGUACCAUUGGUAACAAGGCCUGGGGUAGAGGGAGGUCCAUCAGUAGCCUUGGUAACAAGGCCUGGGGUAGAGGGAGGUCCAUCAGUAGCAUUGGUAACAAGGCCUGGGCUAGAGGGAGGUCCAUUAGUACCAUUGGUAACAAGGCCUGGGGUAGAGGGAGGUUCUGACAGAGCUCUGAUGAUACAAGCAGGUGCAAAGGGGACACAACAUGUCCUUGUCCCAGUCCUGUCUUCUUCUGUCUCUGAUUCACCUUCACUUAUGGUGACAGAGAGAUGCUCCCCACCCUGUUCACCUUCUGGACAGGG